AAUGGGCGCAAGCCUGAUCCAGCCAUGCCGCGUGUGUGAUGAAGGCCCUAGGGUUGUAAAGCACUUUCAACGGUGAAGAUAAUGACGGUAACCGUAGAAGAAGCCCCGGCUAACUUCGUGCCAGCAGCCGCGGUAAUACGAAGGGGGCUAGCGUUGUUCGGAAUUACUGGGCGUAAAGCGCACGUAGGCGGAUCGUUAAGUGAGGGGUGAAAUCCCAGGGCUCAACCCUGGAACUGCCUUUCAUACUGGCGAUCUUGAGUUCGAGAGAGGUGAGUGGAAUUCCGAGUGUAGAGGUGAAAUUCGUAGAUAUUCGGAGGAACACCAGUGGCGAAGGCGGCUCACUGGCUCGAUACUGACGCUGAGGUGCGAAAGCGUGGGGAGCAAACAGGAUU
rnacentral:rRNA from 1 species